GUAACUUGCUCAACAAUUCAAUUUAGAGCACAAUUUUCAUAUUUUCUUUUCAAGAUAGUUCAUCUUGAUAAGUUGGUUUACAUCAUAGUUGGGUUAGCAAAACUCCACUUAAUAGCUAAACUAUUGCUUAUGAGAACAAAGGUAUCUAUAUCAUUGUGAUAUACGUUAGAUACGAUAGUAUAUCAUAUUCUCCCCUCACAAGUGGUUCAGGGUCAGGAACCAAAUAACUCCAUCUUAUUAUUAUUUAUGUGCGCAGUAUAUUUUCAUUAACACCAUAAUGCACAAAGAUGGAUCCUCAAAGUUAAGGAAAUAAGUUAGUUUUUCUAACAUGAGGGGGAGACAUGAUAAACAAUUGAGAAAACGUUACNNNN
rnacentral:lncRNA from 1 species